rnacentral:rRNA from 1 species
AUACGGAGGGUGCGAGCGUUGUUCGGAAUUAUUGGGCGUAAAGAGCAUGUAGGCGGUCUGUUAAGUCUGGUGUGAAAGCCCGGGGCUCAACCCCGGAAGUGCAUUUGAUACUGGCAGACGUGAGUAUGGGAGAGGAAAGCGGAAUUCCGAGUGUAGGAGUGAAAUCCGUAGAUAUUCGGAGGAACACCAGUGGCGAAGGCGGCUUUCUGGACCAAUACUGACGCUGAGAUGCGAAAGCGUGGGGAGCAAACAGGAUUAGAAACCCUGGUAGUCC